GUCAUACGAGACGCAUCGUCAUAGUUUUUUUUUUUUAUUAAUUAUUAUUAUUAUCGAACAAAUCGUAUACGAAGUUAAAAGAAAAAAAAAACAGUGAAAUUCCAUGCUAUUUUCUAAUAAACAAAAAAACAAAUAAAAUCAACAAAUGAAUUUGAUGAAUAAAAUCGGACGAUUCAUUUCGAUCAGCUAUUACGCGUAACGUGAUGACGAUGACCUUGAUCCUCGUAACGUACGAGAUCUUUACGUGAAUAUAUUAACAUCAGUGAAUGUGGUGAGAAGAAGAAAUAUUAUCAUCGGACUUGUUGGCUGAUAACACACCGAAGAAAGAUAACACGUGUUCAAUUGACAUAAGAAAUCUAACGAUGAUGAUUAUGAUGAUGAUGAUGAUGAUGAUGAUAAUUAUGAUGAUAUCAUACGUUAAUGUGAAUUUACCACGUACUAAUUGGAUUACAACGAUUUAUUAUAGAAGAGGAAUAAUUCCAAGUGUUUUUUAAUUUUCUUUUGAAAAUUCAAUCAGUCGAUGGAUCAUCAAUUUAAACAAACGAAAAAUAUCAUACAAUACUAUUAUUAUUAAUAAUAUUAAUAAUAAUAAUAAUAACAAUAAUACAAGUGAUAUGAUAAAAUUGAUAAUAAUGAUCGUUCGAAUGAUAUGACCGAUAGAAUGACGUAGGGUUGUGUGGGGUUGGGGUACUUUUUUGACGUACGCCACAAUACAAAAAAAAAAACAACCUUUUUCUAAGGUUUAAAGGACUUUAAUCAAAAUUUGGAAAAAAAUAUCAGACAAAUAAUACAAAAAAAAAUAUCAGACAAAUAUUA